UCCUUAGUGGUCCAGUGGCUAAGACUUUGUGCUUCCAACACAGGGGGCCCAGGUUUGAUCCCUGGUCAGAGUA
rfam:TPA: Bos taurus chromosome 19, whole genome shotgun sequence.